UACGUGAGGGGCGAACGUUGUUCGGUGUCACUGGGCUUAAAGGGCGCGUAGGUGGCUGUGCAAGUAAGGUGUGAAAGCCCUCGCUUACCCGGGGAAUUGCGCCUUAAACUGCAUGGCUUGAGGGUCUCAGGGGAUAGGGGAACUCCAGGUGUGAGCGGUGAAAUGCGCAGAUAUCUGGAGGAACACCGGUGGCGAAGGCGGCAUCCUGGACCAAUAUUGACGCUGAGGAGCGAAAGCCAGGGGAGCAAACGGG
rnacentral:rRNA from 1 species